rnacentral:rRNA from 1 species
ACGGAGGGAGCGAGCGUUGUUCGGAAUUACUGGGCGUAAAGGGGGCGUAGGCGGCCUUGUAAGUCAGGUGUGAAAUGCCGGGGCUCAACUCCGUGCACUGCACCUGAUACUGCUUGGCUAGAGAGAGGUAGAGGCGAGCGGAAUUCCCGGUGUAGCGGUGGAAUGCGUAGAUAUCGGGAGGAACAUCUGCGGCGAAGGCGGCUCGCUGGGCCUUUUCUGACGCUGAAGCGCGAAAGCGUGGGUAGCAAACAGG